UUCGCCCUUAGAGUUUGAUCCUGGCUCAGGACGAACGCUGGCGGCGCGCCUAACACAUGCAAGUCGAACGAGCGAGAGAGAGCUUGCUUUCUCAAGCGAGUGGCGAACGGGUGAGUAACGCGUGAGGAACCUGCCUCAAAGAGGGGGACAACAGUUGGAAACGACUGCUAAUACCGCAUAAGCCCACAGCUCGGCAUCGAGCAGAGGGAAAAGGAGCAAUCCGCUUUGAGAUGGCCUCGCGACCGAUUAGCUAGUUGGUGAGGUAAUGGCCCACCAAGGCAACGAUCGGUAGCCGGACUGAGAGGUUGAACGGCCACAUUGGGACUGAGACACGGCCCAGACUCCUACGGGAGGCAGCAGUGGGGAAUAUUGCACAAUGGGGGAAACCCUGAUGCAGCGACGCCGCGUGGAGGAAGAAGGUCUUCGGAUUGUAAACUCCUGUUGUUGAGGAAGAUAAUGACGGUACUCAACAAGGAAGUAACGGCUAACUACGUGCCAGCAGCCGCGGUAAAACGUAGGUCACAAGCGUUGUCCGGAAUUACUGGGUGUAAAGGGAGCGCAGGCGGGAAGACAAGUUGGAAGUGAAAUCUAUGGGCUCAACCCAUAAACUGCUUUCAAAACUGUUUUUCUUGAGUAGUGCAGAGGUAGGCGGAAUUCCCGGUGUAGCGGUGGAAUGCGUAGAUAUCGGGAGGAACACCAGUGGCGAAGGCGGCCUACUGGGCACCAACUGACGCUGAGGCUCGAAAGUGUGGGUAGCAAACAGGAUUAGAUACCCUGGUAGUCCACACCGUAAACGAUGAUUACUAGGUGUUGGAGGAUUGACCCCUUCAGUGCCGCAGUUAACACAAUAAGUAAUCCACCUGGGGAGUACGACCGCAAGGCUGAAACUCAAAGGAAUUGACGGGGGCCCGCACAAGCAGUGGAGUAUGUGGUUUAAUUCGACGCAACGCGAAGAACCUUACCAAGUCUUGACAUCCUGCGACGAUGCUGGAAACAGUAUUUUCCUUCGGGACGCAGAGACAGGUGGUGCAUGGUUGUCGUCAGCUCGUGUCGUGAGAUGUUGGGUUAAGUCCCGCAACGAGCGCAACCCUUACUGUCAGUUACUACGCAAGAGGACUCUGGCAGGACUGCCGUUGACAAAACGGAGGAAGGUGGGGAUGACGUCAAAUCAUCAUGCCCUUUAUGACUUGGGCUACACACGUACUACAAUGGCGUUAAACAAAGAGAAGCAAGACCGCGAGGUGGAGCAAAACUCAGAAACAACGUCCCAGUUCGGACUGCAGGCUGCAACUCGCCUGCACGAAGUCGGAAUUGCUAGUAAUCGUGGAUCAGCAUGCCACGGUGAAUACGAUACCCGGGCCUUGCACACACCGCCCGUCA
rnacentral:rRNA from 1 species